rnacentral:rRNA from 1 species
GCACCCUGAACACACCCGAUCUCGUCUGAUCUUGGAAGCUAAGCAGAGUUGGGCCUGGUUAGUGCUUGGAUAGGAGAAAUCUGCUGGGAACCAGGA